CCCUUUCAUAAGAGAGUCGGCAAAGGGGUACUUUGAAAAUUUUGAAAAAAAAUUUUCAAUUCAAAUUUCAAAUUCCCACAUUCUUCCCACUUUACUCUCUCUCUAUUUCUAGUAGCCAUAAAUCGAAAGUGAUAAUGGUUGUUAUCGUUCCUUUCUUCUCAUAUCCUUGCCAACAAAAAUGACGUCCCUUCUUUCCUCUUAACAACAACAUGAGGUAUGCUUUUGAUUCAAAAAUGGUAGCAGCUGUCCGAGCCUCCUUCCAUUCUCGAGAAGAAGUUGCGCUCUAUCCUUCACAAUUGAUCAAUCUCUCGAGCUCCUCAGCCGCGCAACCAUGCAGAACAAAGAAGGGAAGAUUGUGUUGUACUUCGUGUUAUGGUCGAUGGCAGAACAAAGAAGGGAAGAUUGUGCUGUACUUCGUGUUAGAGUACAUGGAAACUGACGUGAAUAAAUUCAUCCAGAGCUUUUGAGGAGGACAUUCCCCUAGGAUCGUUUCAACUAAAAAAUUGAUUAAAAAAAGUACACUCACGAGGUGAACCAAGCCGUACCAUUCCACGCGCCUUCUUAGUUAGUUAUCCUGUUUCGUAUUAUAUUGACUGCUGAUGAAGUGAACUGAUGCCUUGUGAAGAAGAUGAUCAGCUUGUUGGUUUUAUUUUAUUUUAUUUUUUAUAUAAUUGAAUUGGAGGAAUUUGCUGACAAGUGUAAAUUUGAUUCACAUGUAUUUGAAUUUGUCGGGUCUUGUAAGCAUACAAUUCGUAAAUUAUUAUGUAAUUACUUUGGCCAUAAUUAUUUGGGUGAGCAUAAUUAUUUGGGUUGUUAA